rnacentral:rRNA from 1 species
CAGCAGCCACGGUAAGACAGAGGAUGCAAGCGUUAUCCGGAAUGAUUGGGCGUAAAGCGUCUGUAGGUGGCUUUUCAAGUCCGCCGUCAAAUCCCAGGGCUCAACCCUGGACAGGCGGUGGAAACUACCAAGCUGGAGUACGGUAGGGGCAGAGGGAGUUUCCAGUGGAGCGGUGAAAUGCGUUGAGAUCGAAAAGAACACCAACAGCGAAAGCACUCUGCCGGGACGACACUGACACUAAGAGACGAAAGCUAGGGGAGCAAAUGGGAUUAGAUACCCCCGUAGUCCCUGUCUCUUAUAC